rnacentral:rRNA from 1 species
UUGACCUCGGAUCAGGUAGGAAUACCCGCUGAACUUAAGCAUAUCAAUAAGCGGAGGAAAAGAAACCAACAGGGAUUGCCCCAGUAACGGCGAGUGAAGCGGCAACAGCUCAAAUUUGAAAUCUGGCCCCUCCGGGUCCGAGUUGUAAUUUGUAGAGGAUGCUUUUGGUGAGGUGCCGCCCGAGUUCCCUGGAACGGGACGCCACAGAGGGUGAGAGCCCCGUCUGGCUGGCCACCGAGCCUCUGUAAAGCUCCUUCGACGAGUCGAGUAGUUUGGGAAUGCUGCUCAAAAUGGGAGGUAUAUGUCUUCUAAAGCUAAAUAUUGGCCAGAGACCGAUAGCGCACAAGUAGAGUGAUCGAAAGAUGAAAAGCACCUUGAAAAGAGGGUUAAACAGUACGUGAAAUUGUUGAAAGGGAAGCGCUUGUGACCAGACUUGGGCGCGGCGGAUCAUCCGGGGUUCUCUCCGGUGCACUUCGCCGCGUUCAGGCCAGCAUCAGUUCGUCGCGGGGGAAAAAGGCUUCGGGAACGUGGCUCCUCCGGGAGUGUUAUAGCCCGUUGCAUAAUACCCUGCGGUGGACUGAGGACCGCGCAUCUGCAAGAUGCGCUAU